GAUGAACGCUGGCGGCGUGCCUAAUACAUGCAAGUCGAGCGAACAGACGAGGAGCUUGCACCUCUGACGUUAGCGGCGGACGGGUGAGUAACACGUGGAUAACCUACCUAUAAGACUGGGAUAACUUCGGGAAACCGGAGCUAAUACCGGAUAAUAUAUUGAACCGCAUGGUUCAAUAGUGAAAGACGGUUUUGCUGUCACUUAUAGAUGGAUCCGCGCCGCUUUAGCUAGUUGGUAAGGUAACGGCUUACCAAGGCAACGAUGCGUAGCCGACCUGAGAGGGUGAUCGGCCACACUGGAACUGAGACACGGUCCAGACUCCUACGGGAGGCAGCAGUAGGGAAUCUUCCGCAAUGGGCGAAAGCCUGACGGAGCAACGCCGCGUGAGUGAUGAAGGUCUUCGGAUCGUAAAACUCUGUUAUUAGGGAAGAACAAAUGUGUAAGUAACUAUGCACGUCUUGACGGUACCUAAUCAGAAAGCCACGGCUAACUACGUG
rnacentral:rRNA from 1 species